GCCUUCGUGGUGUAGUGGUCAGCAUGCUCGACGCGUAACCGAGAGAUCCGUGGUUCGAUUCCCGGCGAAGGCG
rnacentral:tRNA from 1 species